GAUGAACGCUAGCGGGAGGCUUAACACAUGCAAGUCGAGGGGCAGCAUAGGGUAGCAAUACUCUGAUGGCGACCGGCAAACGGGUGAGUAACGCGUAUGCAACCUACCCUGUACAGGGGGAUAACCCGGAGAAAUUCGGACUAAUAUCCCGUAAUAAUAUCCGGAGGCAUCUUUGGAUAUUUAAAGUUCCGACGGUACGGGAUGGGCAUGCGUAACAUUAACUGGUUGGUAAGGUAACGGCUUACCAAGGCUAUGAUGUUUAGGGGUCCUGAGAGGGUGGUCCCCCACACUGGUACUGAGACACGGACCAGACUCCUACGGGAGGCAGCAGUGAGGAAUAUUGGUCAAUGGGUGCAAGCCUGAACCAGCCAUCCCGCGUGCAGGAAGACGGCCCUAUGGGUUGUAAACUGCUUUUCCAGGGAGAGAAACUUACGCACGUGUUGCGUGACUGACGGUACCCUGGGAAUAAGCAUCGGCUAACUCCGUG
rnacentral:rRNA from 1 species